rnacentral:rRNA from 1 species
CCUACGGGAGGCAGCAGUGAGGAAUAUUGGUCAAUGGGCGCGAGCCUGAACCAGCCAAGUAGCGUGAAGGAUGACUGCCCUAUGGGUUGUAAACUUCUUUUAUAAAGGAAUAAAGUUAGGCACGUGUGCCUUUUUGUAUGUACCUUAUGAAUAAGGAUCGGCUAAUUCCGUGCCAGCAGCCGCGGUAAUACGGAGGAUCCGAGCGUUAUCCGGAUUUAUUGGGUUUAAAGGGAGCGUAGAUGGGUUUUUAAGUCAGUUGUGAAAGUUUGCGGCUCAACCGUAAAAUUGCAAUUGAUACUGGCGGUCUUGAGUACAGUGGAGGUAGGCGGAAUUCGUGGUGUAGCGGUGAAAUGCUUAGAUAUCACGAAGAACUCCGAUUGCGAAGGCAGCUUACUAAACUGCCACUGACAUUGAUGCUCGAAAGUGUGGGUAUCAAACAGGAUUAGAUACCCGUGUAGUC